rnacentral:ncRNA from 2 species
CGAACGCGCUGUGACUGACGGGUACGCGUGGGAAACCACGGGGGAGCAGCGCGCUUAUCCCGCCGACCGUCUGGGCAAGCCUU